CAGCAAUUAAAGUAUGUUUAGUAGGAAUAGUAAUGUUGUUGAAGUAAUGGCAUUAUUUUUCUUUUUUUCCCAGAUCGCAGUGUGUGAUGCUCCCCUCCCUGUGUCCAUGUGUUCUCAUUGUUCAACACUGGCCUAUGAACAGUCUGGCUCUGUUGCCCAAGUUGGAGUGCAAUGUUGUGAUCUUGGCUCACUGCAACUUUCAACUAUGCAGUUCAAGCAAUUCUCCUGCCUCAGCCUCCUGAGUAGCUGGGACUACAGGCACCUUUUCACCACGCCUGGUUAAUUUUUAUAUUUUUAGUAGAGACCAGGUUUCUCCAAACAGGCUAGAAUAUUUUUUCAAGUCAAAAAUUUAGCGAGGAUUAGAGGUAAGUGUCACCAUGCCCAGCUAAUUUUGUAUUUUUAGUAAAGACGGGGCUUUCUCCGUGUUGGUCAGG
rnacentral:lncRNA from 1 species